CCUACGGGUGGCAGCAGUGGGGAAUAUUGGACAAUGGGGGGAACCCUGAUCCAGCCAUGCCGCGUGUGUGAAGAAGGCCCUCGGGUUGUAAAGCACUUUCAGUGAGGAAGAACGCCUGGUGGUUAAUACCCAUCAGGAAAGACAUCACUCACAGAAGAAGCACCGGCUAACUCCGUGCCAGCAGCCGCGGUAAUACGGAGGGUGCGAGCGUUAAUCGGAAUUACUGGGCGUAAAGCGCGCGUAGGUGGCUUGAUAAGCCGGUUGUGAAAGCCCCGGGCUCAACCUGGGAACGGCAUCCGGAACUGUGGAGCUAGAGUGCAGGAGAGGAAGGUGGAAUUCCCGGUGUAGCGGUGAAAUGCGUAGAGAUCGGGAGGAAUACCAGUGGCGAAGGCGGCCUUCUGGACUGACACUGACGCUGAGGUGCGAAAGCGUGGGUAGCAAACAGGAUUAGAUACCCCUGUAGUC
rnacentral:rRNA from 1 species